AACACACACACUAAAACACAUUAGAAACACACACACUUCACGUUAACACCAUUUCUUUGGUGUUCAAGCUUUUGACCUCCGAUUUGAGCACCGAGACGAGCGCCGAUCAUCUUUUCGAUCACGUAUCUAAGUAGGUCCUUUUGGGAAGUAACGACUUGAGGGAGAGAGUGACGUUACUCAUUGAUACAGAGACACAACGAGGUUGAGCUGAUGUGAUGAUGGUGCUGCAAUGAGCGGAGUCUCCAGGGUUGUUAAUAAAUAGUUAACCUGUCUAGAAUAUGUCUUCAUACAUAUGUCUAGCUACUUUCCGCUGCAAGAUGUUGUUGAUGUUAUAGUAUGUUAUGUCAUACUUUGAGUCUUAAGAGAAUGGUUUCAUAUGAUGUAUAACUUGAUUAAUGAUAUUAAUUAACUUUUAUGCAGUCUUUCAUAGACUGUUUUCAAUUGAGUAUUAAUGAAUAAAAAUGACGAGUUUUAUUAA